GAUGAACGCUGGCGGCGUGCCUAACACAUGCAAGUCGAGCGAUCUUCUUCGGAAGAGAGCGGCGGACGGGUGAGUAACGCGUGGGUAACCUGCCCUGUACACACGGAUAACAUACCGAAAGGUAUGCUAAUACGAGAUAAUAUGCUUUUAUCGCAUGGUAGAAGUAUCAAAGCUUUUGCGGUACAGGAUGGACCCGCGUCUGAUUAGCUAGUUGGUAAGGUAACGGCUUACCAAGGCGACGAUCAGUAGCCGACCUGAGAGGGUGAUCGGCCACAUUGGAACUGAGACACGGUCCAAACUCCUACGGGAGGCAGCAGUGGGGAAUAUUGCACAAUGGGCGAAAGCCUGAUGCAGCAACGCCGCGUGAGCGAUGAAGGCCUUCGGGUCGUAAAGCUCUAUCAGCAGGGAAGAAAUUGACGGUACCUGACUAAGAAGCCCCGGCUAACUACGUGCCAGCCGCCGCCGUAA
rnacentral:rRNA from 1 species